rnacentral:rRNA from 1 species
UACGGAGGAUGCGAGCGUUAUCCGGAUUUAUUGGGUUUAAAGGGUGCGUAGGCGGGCUUUUAAGUCAGCGGUAAAAAUUCGGGACUCAACCCCGUCCGGCCGUUGAAACUGGGGGCCUUGAGUGGGCGAGAAGAAGGCGGAAUGCGUGGUGUAGCGGUGAAAUGCAUAGAUAUCACGCAGAACCCCGAUUGCGAAGGCAGCCUUCCGGCGCCCUACUGACGCUGAGGCACGAAAGUGCGGGGAUCGAACGGG